CAACAGCGUGGUGGUUAUUUGCAC
rnacentral:piRNA from 1 species